AAUUUGUCAUUUAUCUUCUGAAUUAUCAAGUUGCCAAUUAUUUGUCUUUUAUUUCUAAAGAAUUUUAUAUAUGGCUUGAUGCUCAUUAUUUUCACUGAACAUUUCCUUGUACUUUAUUAUAUUGAAUUUCACAUGUUUUUCUCAACCUUGUGACUCACGAUGUUUCCCUUUCAUGCCUGUUUACUUGGGGCCAGUGGGUGGUUAUGUAACAAAAUACCUAACCACAGGACAUUGAGCAGCAGCAAAUGAUUGACUGUGUUAAUCAGGGCCACACACCUGGAGGGAAGGCAUCACAUGAGGUGGUCAAUGCAGAAGGAUGGAAGACAGUCUCUUCUAGAUCUAGAGGUCGCAUAACUAAACAUCACACUACUGGAACAACUCCCCCAGUGCAUCUGGGAAACAGGUUGGCAGACUUCCUAUAUAGAGCUUUAAACUAGCUUCGUCAGGGGAUGGGGAUGCCGAAUUGAGGAUGAGAUUGGGUAGGACAAGCCACAAAAUGCACACUGGAAAUGAUCAGAUAAGUAUAAGGGGGAAACUAAGAAUCAGGAUAGGGGAAUACUAAGGGCAACUAUCAGGGGGUUUAGGUGUCUCUAUACUAAUGCGAGAAGUAUGGGAAAAAAGCAGGAGGAACUUGCACUCCUGCUUGCAGACAAGGAUAUUGACCUGGUUAGUCUAACAGAAACCUGCUGGGACCCUACCCAUGACUGGGCAGUGGGCAUUGAGGGCUACAGGCUAUACAGGCAGGAUAGAUUGGGGAAGAAGGUGAGGUGGCAUUGCUGUAUAUGUUAGGGAACAUUAUACAUCUUCUGUAAUAAAGAUGGGGAUGGAAGAAAGGCUAAUCAAAGUCCUAUGGGUCAGAUUACAAGGGGGUAGGGGUG